AAAGAGUGACCGGCGAGCGGUAGCGGAGGAACCCGGUGCGAAUCCGGGACGGUCCCGCCACUGUGACCGGGGAGCGACCCGCAGCACAGCCACGGCUUCGACAGGGGCCGGAAGGCGCGGUGAUCGCCGAUCCGGGAGUCAGGAGACUCCGGCCGCUCGUUCGUGGCUGAC
rnacentral:ncRNA from 1 species